CCCUGCUUCCCGAGGCCACAUGCUUCUUUAUAUCCCCAUACGGAUUACAUUGCUAUGGAAUGUAAGGAAGUGUGUGGUUUUGGCAAGUGUCUCGUCG
ensembl:miRNA microRNA 206